rnacentral:misc_RNA from 1 species
AAUUUUUCAAGCUAAGUGAUGAAGAUUGAAGGAUGACAAAACAUAAUUUAAACAAGCAAAUUCCACCCAAAUUACUAAAUUGCCUGGCAAGUCAAAACUUUAACCAGAGCACGUUAUUGUUGAUCUGGCACAACCGUAUCGUCCCUUGAGAUUUUUUUUAACCAGAAAAAGACAGCUUAUAUAGAAGAAAAGUGAGCUGUUUUUUUGGUUAUUCCUAUUUUCGUCAAAUAAAAAAUUUUACAAAAUAGAAACACCAUAAGCAGAAAUGCGAAUCAUAGGAGGCCACGAGGCAGCACCGAGCGUGAAGUACACGAACGGUGGAGAUUGGUUUCAGCGCAUACUACCGCCUCCCACAGCAACUAUCAAACACCGGAUAAUUUAACCACUGCUAAAAUGGAGAUCUAAAAGACGAGAAAAUCCGUUUUAAAACCUUCAAUAACUAUUUUUCGUU